rnacentral:rRNA from 1 species
ACCUUACCAGGUCUUGACAUCCUUUGACCACUCUAGAGAUAGAGCUUCCCCUUCGGGGGCAAAGUGACAGGUGGUGCAUGGUUGUCGUCAGCUCGUGUCGUGAGAUGUUGGGUUAAGUCCCGCAACGAGCGCAACCCUUAUUGUUAGUUGCCAUCAUUCAGUUGGGCACUCUAGCAAGACUGCCGGUGACAAACCGGAGGAAGGUGGGGAUGACGUCAAAUCAUCAUGCCCCUUAUGACCUGGGCUACACACGUGCUACAAUGGGAAGUACAACGAGUUGCGAAGUCGCGAGGCUAAGCUAAUCUCUUAAAGCUUCUCUCAGUUCGGAUUGCAGGCUGCAACUCGCCUGCAUGAAGCCGGAAUCGCUAGUAAUCGCGGAUCAGCACGCCGCGGUGAAUACGUUCCCGGGCCUUGUACACACCGCCCGUCACACCACGAGAGUUUGUAACACCCGAAGUCGGUGAGGUAACCUUUUUGGAGCCAGCCGCCUAAGGUGGGAUAGAUGAUUGGGGUGAAGUCGUAACAAGGUAGCCGUAUCGGAAGGUGCGGCUGGAUCACCUCCUUUCUAAGGAA